rnacentral:rRNA from 1 species
UACGUAGGGGGCGAGCGUUGUCCGGAAUUACUGGGCGUAAAGGGCGCGUAGGCGGCCCGCUAAGUCCGUUGUGAAAGACCGAGGCUCAACCUCGGGGUGUCAACGGAGACUGGUGGGCUCGAGUGUCGGAGAGGAGCGGGGAAUCCCUGGUGUAGCGGUGGAAUGCGUAGAGAUCAGGGGGAACACCGAUGGCGAAGGCACCGCUCUGGCCGAACACUGACGCUGAGGCGCGAAAGCUGGGGGAGCGAACGGG